rnacentral:rRNA from 1 species
GGACGGACGAACCUCUGGUGUGCCAGUUGUUCCGCCAGGAGCACCGCUGGUUAGCUACGUUCGGAAGGGAUAACCGCUGAAAGCAUCUAAGCGGGAAGCCUGUUCCAAGAUGAGGUUUCUCACCCCCUCGAGGGGGUAAGGCCCCCGGCAGACCACCGGGUUGAUAGGCCAGAACUGGAAGUGCAGUAAUGCAUGCAGGUGACUGGUACUAAUAGGCCGAGGACUUACCACAA